rnacentral:rRNA from 1 species
AACGAACGCUGGCGGCAUGCCUAACACAUGCAAGUCGAACGAGACCUUCGGGUCUAGUGGCGCACGGGUGCGUAACGCGUGGGAACCUGCCCUUAGGUUCGGAAUAACUCCCCGAAAGGGGUGCUAAUACCGGAUAAUGUCUUCGGACCAAAGAUUUAUCGCCUUUGGAUGGGCCCGCGUUGGAUUAGCUAGUUGGUAGGGUAAAAGCCUACCAAGGCGACGAUCCAUAGCUGGGCAGAGAGGAUGAUCAGCCACACUGGGACUGAGACACGGCCCAGACUCUUACGGGAGGCAGCAGUGGGGAAUAUUGGACAACGGGCGAAAGGCUGAUCCAGCAAGGCCGGGUGAGUGAUGAAGGCCUUAGGGUUGUAAAGCUCUUUUACCCGGGAUGAUAAUGACAGUACCGGGAGAAUAAGCUCCGGCUAACUCCGUG